rnacentral:lncRNA from 1 species
UUCUCCUGCAUGCAUCACAGUUGGCGUUUACUGCAUUGGUGAGUUGGUUUUAGGAUUACAUGAGGCGAUACAGUUAUUUCGCUAUUGGAAUGAGACUUCCGUUUCCUUAGACUUCUGUGGUCAAGAUAAAGCAGUCAAGGGUAGUUACUGCUCUCAUUGGCUGUGUGCUCCUGGGGAAAGAAGUUUUAGAGAGUCCUACCAGGAUUUUUACAGUUGUCAGCUUUCCCCGGGUUUGAGCAGAAGUGUGGCUAAGGGAGGUGGGAGAGUGAGAGAGAAUGAAGAGUGUAUGGAUGACUCUAGAAUGGGUUCCUACGUCAGUGUUAACAAGUAUCUAGUACGGGAAAAAAAAUAACACUGUCAUGCUUCACUCCUCCAGCACAUUGUGAUUCAGUAAGAUGGAGAUGAGGGUUAGUCCAGGCACCCGAGGUCACUCCUUCAGCUUCCCGAUCAAACCUCUAGUAGCAGAGCCUCUCCAUCGAGAAAUGACCACCAGGUGGCAGUGUUUGCCAACAGUGGCGUGAUUAACAACCAGAUUCCAUGUUACCUAAGCGAAAUUAAUUCUCUGGCUAUUUGUAGCUGAUGAUUAUCUAAGUUCAUUUAAACGUUUGGCUAUAUGAAUAUAUCGGCUACAGUUUCUCUGAAAAUUAGGCUGGUUUUGGAAGGGUUGAUACAGCCCUACUUUAAAAUGUAGUUGUUUCUUUAAGCUCAGAUUCUCAUUUUUUAUACUCUGCUGAAAGUGUUUUUAUAACAUGAACUAAUGCUGAUGACAGUUUAAUAAGUCCCCAAAAUGUUUAUUUUGUAGUAUAUUUUCUUAUAUCUGAAGUAUUGAAAAGCAAAUUGGGAAUAAAAGUGUAUGACCUC